GUCUACGGCCAUGCUACCCUGAACAAGCCCGAUCCAUCUGAUCUUGGAAGCUAAGCAGGGGCGGGCCUGGUUAGUACUUGCAUGGGAGACCACCUGGGAAGACCAGGUGCUAUAGGGG
rnacentral:rRNA from 1 species